GCUGCAAGCCACCUGUAUAAGAGGAGUGCGCUGGGGUUUGAAAACAAGUAUGGAAGUGUCCGAGGUCUCGGGAGGUUGUGGGCGCUCGGUGGGGAAGCGGCUCGUCGGUGCCCCGGGCUGCUAAGCUCCCGCUGCCUGCCUUCCCGCAGCGCGGCCGCAGGGCCAUGCUGGCUUCGUGCGUGGCGCGGGGCCCGUGGGGUGCCCUGCGCUGGGCCACAUGGGCGUGCGGGGCGCGACCGGGCAAGGGGCGCGCCCUCGGGGCCCUGCUGCCGCCCGCACCCAUCUGCCUGGGCUGCCUGGCGGAGCGCUGUUGGCUGCGCCCGGCCGCGCUCGGCCUGGGGCUGCCUGGGGCCGGCCCGCGGGGCCACUGCUCAGGCGCGGGGAAGGCGACCCCGGAGCCCCCAGCCGGAGAGGGCGCCGCCGCGGAGGCCCCGGGCGGCCCAGCGAGUGCCGCCAGCCUGUAUGAAAACCCAUGGACAAUACCAAAUAUGUUGUCAAUGACGAGAAUUGGCUUGGCUCCAGUUUUGGGCUAUUUGAUCAUUGAAGAAGAUUUUAAUGUGGCACUAGGAGUGUUUGCUUUAGCUGGGCUAACUGAUUUGUUGGAUGGAUUUAUUGCUCGAAACUGGGCCAGUCAAAAAUCAGCUUUGGGAAGUGCUCUUGAUCCACUUGCUGAUAAAAUACUUAUCAGUAUCUUAUAUGUUAGCUUGACCUAUGCAGAUCUUAUUCCAGUUCCACUUACUUAUAUGAUAAUUUCAAGAGAUAUAAUGUUGAUUGUUGCUGUUUUUUAUGUCAGAUAUCGAACUCUUCCAGAACCGCGAACACUUUCUAAGUAUUUCAAUCCUUGCUAUGCUACUGCUAGGUUAAAACCAACCUUCAUCAGCAAGGUAAACACAGCAGUCCAGUUAAUCUUGGUAGCAGCUUCUUUGGGAGCUCCGGUUUUCAAUUAUGCUCACGGCUUUUAUCUUCCAAUACUCUGGCCUGGUCCCCCCAACUGCCCUCCCCUGCCGGCCCGAUCUCCCCCAACUGACCUCCCCUGCUAGCCUAUUGGCCCCAAACUGCCCUCCCUGCCAGCCUGAUCGCCCACAACUGCCCUCCCCCGCCGGCCAUCGUGUGACAACGUGAGGGUGGCGAUCUUGUGGCGGCCAUCUUGUGAUGAUGUCACGCAAGGGCGUGACGCCACCUAGGCUUUUAUUAUAUAGGAUAUGUGUUUUACAGCUUUCACCACAGUUGCAUCAGCUUACAGUUAUUAUCGUUACGGUCGGAAAACUGUUCAGGUGAUAAAUGGCAGAUGAAGGUCAUCCGCCAUCAUUAGCAAGGAAGCAAUAUACAUCAUUGGCAGCAGGGCCAGUGGAAAUGUACAGGAGUCUCCCUACUUUGAAAAAGGACUUGUCAGAUCAAACCAUGUCAUCAGUAUUUAAUGUGCAUUGAAAAUAAGCUUGAUCAUGGGCAUAUGCAGAAUUUCCAAUGUAUUUUUAAAUACAAAUAAAACUAUCAUUUAGAAUUUUUUACCUUAGGUUUCUUGAUUAACUUAUAAGGAAUCAAUUCCAAUUAUUGUCAGUCAUUUUUUAAUAUUUUUUUUAAAAAGUAGUGUCCAGAGCAUGGAAACUGGAGAAUUGCCACUUCUCUUUAAUAGAACUUAGAUUGCUCUCAAUGCAUUGGGGAAUUUCCUAGGUUUAUAUGUAGCCUACGCAAGGCUAUACAACUUUAAGUUUAAUUUGAUCAGUAUGUAUAUUAACAGUUAAUGUGGUUAAUAGUUGAUCAUUUAGGCUAAUGACAAUAAAGGUACCUUAGUUGUAGAUGAAGUAAACUUGUAAAGAGAUUAUAAAGAUCAAAAUAGAAGGUAUUGAAGUUCAUAUUCAGUAGUCUUCCAACCUCUCAGGUGCCUAAUAGUUUAUCAGGAUAACAAGUAACAGAAGUAGUUGGAAUAAUAAAACAUAUCCAUGAGCCUACACCCUCCAGGAGGCGGUGAAUUAUAGCAUGCCUUCCCACUGUAUUUCUAACAUGGCAGUGUUUGUAUGAUACUGGAAUCUGUACUCAUAUGUAUAUAAUAUAAAACUGUAUUUUUUAAAGUUUGGGGAAUAUUCUUUUGUUAAGAUGUUAAAAGAAUAAAAAAGCUGGAAAACAGUA